rnacentral:rRNA from 1 species
GGUCAAUUGGAGUCAACACCUGNAUCUCACCGGGGGAGACCGCAGAAUGACGGCCAGGCUGACGACCUUGCCAGACUCGCGGAGAGGAGGCGCAUGGCCGUCGCCAGCUCGUGUUGUGAAAUGUCCGGUUAAGUCCGGCAACGAGCGAGACCCCCACCCCUAGUUGCUACUCUGGCCUCCGGGCUGGAGGCACACUAGGGGGACUGCCGGCGUUUAAGCCGGAGGAAGGAGGGGGCCACGGCAGGUCAGCAUGCCCCGAAACUCCCGGGCCGCACGCGGGUUACAAUGGUAGGGACAGCGGGAAUCCAAACCCGAAAGGGGGAGGCAAUCCCUUAAACCCUGCCUCAGUUGGGAUCGAGGGCUGAAACUCGCCCUCGUGAACGAGGAAUCCCUAGUACCGCACGUCA